CCUACGGGAGGCAGCAGUGGGGAAUAUUGCACAAUGGGGGAAACCCUGAUGCAGCAACGCCGCGUGAGUGAUGACGGCCUUCGGGUUGUAAAGCUCUGUCUUCAGGGACGAUAAUGACGGUACCUGAGGAGGAAGCCACGGCUAACUACGUGCCAGCAGCCGCGGUAAUACGUAGGUGGCGAGCGUUGUCCGGAUUUACUGGGCGUAAAGGGAGCGUAGGCGGACUUUUAAGUGAGAUGUGAAAUACUCGGGCUCAACUUGAGUGCUGCAUUUCAAACUGGAAGUCUAGAGUGCAGGAGAGGAGA
rnacentral:rRNA from 1 species